UUCUAAUAAAUAAGGUCAGCUCAUAUGAACAUUCAAUCUAUGAGGAAAAGAAGGCCAUAACAUGAAGGAAGGAAAGAAAUACCACAUCUGCAUCAACUUGGCAUGUAUCCCACAACGACACAAAUGUUUAGUGUUGAGUAGUUUCUCUGUAAUCAUAACAGGGAAGAAAACAUAUCCUAGGCUGCAGUACAUAGCUACAUUUUAAUCGGUCAAGGGGAGACCUCUACCAAGGCAGAGCAAUCAGGAUAUAUUAAUUUUGUCAUUAUAAUACCUUAAAUAUUCCUAGGAAUUUGUAAAAGUGUCUGCUCCAAAACCAGUUUCCCAGAAUAUGAAAAAUGUUAAUUCAGGCAUUUUCCAACAUAAUAUUGAUUUGCAGCUCGGCUAAAGUUACACCCACUUCAGGAGAUGUUCCUUAUAGAGAGAUAUGAUAUCCAGGAUGCAAACCAAUCAAUCCUGCCAAGGACAUUUUUAAAUCCAAGCUGCAAACACGUUAAUAGGAGUUGGUGAAAUGGAAGUCAUUGGUCAUUAGUCAUUGGCCGAGUGAUCACCACUAAGCCCCUUUUUUAUCUGCUAAUUACUGGUGUCCAGCCUCAGUGGUCUUGCAGAGUCAGGAAGUCAAACCCAGUGGGAGCUCCGGAGAUGUCAAAGAGCUGGUCCCCUCGCAGGACAAACCAUCGGCUGUGCCACGUCUUGACGAAACCACCUUGCUUCCUGAGCCAGCCGCACCUGAUGACACCCUGCCUCCCCUGGCGGGCCUCCACGCCGGUCUGAAAGCCGCCAUGCUGGGGACUACCAUGGGACUGCUCGUCCAUCACGCUCUGCAUUUGCUGAGUGACUCCUGCUUAAAGUCUGCUGACAUCAGCUAUAAAGCCUCCUUGACUCUGGCUGAGCUGGGCUUGGUGAGAGUCCAAGGAAGCCACAGGUCCUGAUGAUGACCAGAUGCAGCAGCCCACCAGUGCUUCCAAAUUGCAGUGGAACAAGUGGAGCAAAUAAAAAGAUAAACGUAAAAAUAAUAAUAAAAGUGCGGCAAGGUUUGCUGCGGUGAUUGUCAAAUCUAAGCGUGACCUUAUUCCCACCUCAUGAAUUAUGGUAGCAUCCCACAUAUGGAGUAAAUGAAAACCAUGUAACUCUAUACUUUGUUCUAUUUAUCUGAAAAAAACAAGGAAAAUUAUUGUUUCUGCUAAAGAAAAAUAUAGAAAAAAAUAGAAUAUAUCUCACAUAUACAGCCAACAUGUACAAUAUCCCACAUAGUCACGAUAUGCAUUGAUGUUUAAAGAAAAGCCUGUUUGAAUUAUCAAAAAAUAUCUCAAAAUAUAAGUCACUGAUGGUGUAGAGGUACACUCGCCUAACGGGCAGCGUGGGUUCAGUUCCCACUCAGUGACGGUGUGAAUGGGAGUACGAAUGGUUGUCUAUGUCUCUAUGUGCCCUGCGACUGACUGGCGACCAGUUCAGGGUGUAGUCCGCCUUUCGCCCGAAGUCAGCUGGUAUAGGCUCCAGCGUCCCGUGAUCCUAACCAGGAUAAGCGGUGUUGAAAAUGGAUGGAUAUCUCAAAAUAUAUUGUUAUCCACAAAACAUUAAAAAUCAACCAUGUUAACCACUAUGCUACCAAUGACACAUUCAUAUUUUGUUCCACUUUGUGAAAAAGUACAAAUUCACCUUUUUUGUCCCCAUGUUUGUAAACACUGCAUUUUUCUAGUAUACAUACAGUCGCUGUCUAGUGAAAAGCCUGCCCCCCCAAAAACAUUUCUCAUUGUCCCCCAAAACUCUAAAAUGAAAUAAUUUGGGGGCGGAAUGUGGCCGAUUGGUUAGAGCGUCUACCUCUCAGUUCU